UCACAUCAGUUGCACAAUUUUGGUUAUCUUUCCAGUUCCAACUUUUCCAAAUUUUACAGUUAAGUACAAAUCUCUUAUUACUAUGUUGCAGAUAGAGGAAAUCGAUCGUUUACCCUUAGCCGAAAUAAUCAGCAGAUUCCGAAGGACUAACUUGAGCAAAGCUUUAUCGGCAGCUAGAAGUAUUUUGCCGCUAUCACAUCAAGUGAUCAUAUUUCACCUCGCUGCGGAACCAAAUCUGUUUGAGAUGAAGAUAUAUAACCCAUGGGGUAACACACACAUUAUUGGCAAAACUCUCUGUAAUGCAAUGUCCAUUGAGUUAAUGCAGCAUAUACCAGAUUAUGAAAUUUGUCGAAUAUCUUAUGUGUCCCGAUACAUUACGGAGGAGAUGUCGCUACACAUAGCCACAAAUAUUGCUGAACAGCAUAUAGAAUAUUUGCUGCAAUUAACUUAUUUGGAUGUAGGUUUUGACGAUGAAAUUUUUGAUGAUGAAGAAGUCGGCGAUGACUUUAACACCGGUCCGCAUCAAGGUAAUGGAGAUAGUUUACCGCUCCCUAUACAAGCAAACGUGGAAGUUCACGCUCAUUUUGAGGAAGGUUAGAUGUUGUGGAUGAAAUAGCGAUUUCAGCAAGAAGUGCUAUCAAAACUAGGAGGAAUUAAUGACACUUCACAAAGGUUUACAAAAAUAAUUAUAAUCUGCUUACUACGUCUAUCAUGUAAGUAUAACAGGUUCACAAGAAAUAGAGUUAAAAAAAUAACAACAAUGAGCUCGUAAAAUUAACGAAUCGGUGACAUCAUGAAAUAGGGAAAUUAGAUAUGGUUGGAAAUAUUACAUGGAAAGUUUGAACAGUUCAAAGCCUUUAACUUUAAUUCCGACAUAAAAGUAUUGUAGAUCUUACAAACAUCUUGAAUUUACCUUGCAGAAAUCCUCCAAAAACUCAAGUUUCAUAUCCCCGUAAAUGUGCCUGGGCGUGUCACCAAUCAAAAUGAGCCAAGUUUAUGGUUUCUUGGUCUUUUUACAACAUCCGAAUCAUUACAAUUUGGGCAUAACUUAUUCUGUAAAUGUUUUUUUUGGCGAAAACGAUGUCGACGAUAUAGUUAACUCUGGACCGUGUUGGGGCUACUAACGUACGGUAAGUUACUGAACACUGUCAAAGCAAACAUCGCUGUAAAUGCGCAUUACACAAGAUUAGAUAUUGAGGAUCACGUCACAACAUGUCAUUAUGCGUAUCAACAGUCUUGUGCAUCUUGGCGUUUUCGCAACAUCCGAAUUAGUCGGGGUCCAAGCUGUGCGCUUCAAAACUAUUAUUGGAUUUUUAGAAAUAAUUCAGUGGCUGAUCCGUUAUGUUUAAUAUAACAGACCAAUGCUACCCACGACAACUUGCUGUUUAACACAAUGAGAGAAUUCAGAAGGCACAGUAACAUCUGAAUCUGAACGUGAUGUUAUGAAAGAUGUUGAUUGUAUAGUAAUUUCACAAAAUGCUCCCAAACACAUCUGCAAGAUUAAUCCAGAAAAGCUGUAAUACCAUAUAUUUUGCAAACAGUGCAUCAACCUUUUGUCUACCUCACUGCCUUGUUGAGAUUAAAGUGGAACAUUACCUAAGUAUGAUCCAUAAACCUAUUUGAAUGGAAAAUACUAACACAAAAUUUAAUGAAAAUCUUUUGAGUUCCGGAACUAUAUUUUAGAACAAAAACUUCAAAUAUUCGAAAAUUAGUUGAAGAUUGAAUCAAUGGCAGCAGCUGGCAUAAAAGGAUAUCAGCACUAUUAAUCUUAAUAACCAUCUCAAAACCGAGUAAGAUGUACAACCUUGUUAUUGUAAACCAGAAGCUUAAGGUAUUCAUUGGUUUUUGGCGAAAACAGAGAGAUAUGGAGGCAGAUAUGCAGUUGCCAGUUAAGGUACGACUUAUUUAGUCUCUGAUGGCCACUAUCGUUGAUGUAAACAUUAUAGUACAUCUAAAUUUCGUCUUAAAACUUCAAAACAAAGAACAUGAACUUCAUAAUGUUUACAUUGGAUCAUUUAAUUAUAA